rnacentral:lncRNA from 1 species
CUGGGACGCGUGAGAGACGUUCCAGGAGCCGAAUUUUGUUGGGAGGACCCGGCAACGGACAGUCAAAAAGAUCUGACUGUGACUUGACUUUGGAGGUUGCGUUCGGCUGCCUAUUUAAGUAUAGGCACGGACAAGUGUGCUUAGAUGUGUUAGUGUCUGUUGUCUGUAUUCUGUUUCUGUGUUUGGUAUCCCGGAAGCAGCUAAGGUUAAGCUGCAGUUUGGGCCAGGUACUGAAGGUACCAGGCAUCUGUGGAAAUUGGUUAUAGGAUGCUUUGUCUUGGUCUUGUUUGUCUGGAUUGUUUUCUGUGGUAUUGUCCAGUGUUUUUUUGACUUUUGUUUCGUGUUUGAAUUUGGACUGACGACCGUGUUUAAAAUCUUGGACUGACGACUGUGUUUGAAAUCAUGAAACUGUUUGCUUUGUUCGUCGAAGAGUUUUACUUGGUCCCCUUAAUGCUUAGUAAGAAACUUAAUCUUAUGGACCCCGCUCUAGUGGCGGUGUGUUGGUUGAUAGCCAAAGUUAAUUUUUAAAAUAGUGUUUUAUCUGUGCUUGUGCUCGCAGCACACAGUAGAGGGGAGCGAAAUUAGCUGCGGAGCUGCUGCAGCGAGCAUGGGGACUUCUCAAGUCUCACCCAAUUUUUCUGGCUCUUCAGGAGCUGUUUAAAAGGAAAAGGCUUAAGGUAAAAAGAAACACUAUAGAGAGAUUUCUUAGUGAAUUACUACACCUUGGUUCGCGAUCUCUGGGAAUCUCAUGGUGGACAGCUGAGAUAAGCUGGAAAAGGAUUUAAAUUUUGCUUGGGAGCAAAGAAUCUUAAAGGCGGAGUUUCAGCCGGUAUGACACUUAGUGCAUAACUGCCUAAAAGAUCAAAAAUGCUGUUAACAGGCU